rnacentral:rRNA from 1 species
GCAGUCGAGGGGUAUAUGUCUUCGGAUAUAGAGACCGGCGCACGGGUGCGUAACGCGUAUGCAAUCUGCCUUUCACAGAGGGAUAGCCCAGAGAAAUUUGGAUUAAUACCUCAUAGUAUAAUCAAGCCGCAUGGUUUAAUUAUUAAAGUCACAACGGUGAAAGAUGAGCAUGCGUCCCAUUAGCUAGUUGGUAAGGUAACGGCUUACCAAGGCAACGAUGGGUAGGGGUCCUGAGAGGGAGAUCCCCCACACUGGUACUGAGACACGGACCAGACUCCUACGGGAGGCAGCAGUGAGGAAUAUUGGACAAUGGGCGCAAGCCUGAUCCAGCCAUGCCGCGUGCAGGAUGACGGUCCUAUGGAUUGUAAACUGCUUUUGUACGAGAAGAAACAUCCCGACGUGUCGGGACUUGACGGUAUCGUAAGAAUAAGGAUCGGCUAACUCCGUGCCAGCAGCCGCGGUAAUACGGAGGAUCCAAGCGUUAUCCGGAAUCAUUGGGUUUAAAGGGUCCGUAGGCGGUUUAGUAAGUCAGUGGUGAAAGCCCAUCGCUCAACGGUGGAACGGCCAUUGAUACUGCUGAACUUGAAUUAUUAGGAAGUAACUAGAAUAUGUAGUGUAGCGGUGAAAUGCUUAGAUAUUACAUGGAAUACCAAUUGCGAAGGCAGGUUACUACUAAUGGAUUGACGCUGAUGGACGAAAGCGUGGGGAGCGAACAGGAUUAGAUACCCUGGUCAGUCCACGCCCCUAAACGAAUGGAUACUAAGCUGUUGGGGGGCAAC